rnacentral:lncRNA from 1 species
GUAAGGGUAGUGUGGAUUGGUGGUUGGAUGGGCUGAGUGGUGAGCUUUGGAGAGCUCGACGCAACAGCCAUGAUUCGGCCGGUGGGGAAAUUCCAAAGAGUGGUGGUAUAAGCAGCACGCCGAGCAUGAGGGGAACGAUGUGUUAUGUUGCUCCUGAGUAUGGUGGUGGUGGAGACGUGUCGGAGAAGUGUGAUGUGUAUAGCUUUGGGGUUCUGCUGCUGGUUGUCAUUGCUGGCCGACGGCCACUUCAGGUGACCGCCUCACCCAUGGCGGAAUUUCAAAGGGCAAAUCUUAUAUCUUGGGCUCGGAACCUUGCCCGUGCUGGGAAGCUUAUUAAUCUGGUUGAUCAGUCUAUUCAGUCUUUGGACCGAGAACAAGCUCUCUUAUGCAUCAUGGUUGCUCUCAUCUGCCUCCAGAAAUCACCUGCCCGGCGUCCUUCCAUGAAAGAAGUUGUGGGCAUGCUUUCAGGUGAUUCAGAGCCUCCCAAGCUACCAUUUGAAUUUUCCCCUUCACCUCCCUCCCGCUUUCCCUUCAAGUCCCAAAAGAAAGUUCGGUGAGUUCCUAAUGUUUGGUAUAGAUUUUCAUGAACAGUAUUAUACUGCAGUAGAGCAUUAUUUUAUCA